UACAGAGGGUGCAAGCGUUAAUCGGAGUUACUGGGCGUAAAGGGCGCGUAGGCUGAUAUUUAAGUUGAUUGUGAAAUCCCUGGGCUUAACCUAGGAAUUGCAGUCAAUACUGAGUGUCUUGAGUAUGGUAGAGGAAAGUGGAAUUCUCGGUGUAGUGGUUAAAUACGUAGAUAUCGAGAAGAACACCGGUGGCGAAGGCGACUUUCUGGACCAAUACUGACGCUGAGGCGCGAAAGCGUGGGGAGCAAACUGGAUUAGAUACCCUGGUAGUCCACGCUGUAAACGAUGAGAACUAGAUGUUGCCUGGCUAUGCUAGGCAGUAUCGCAGCUAACGCAUUAAGUUCUCCGCCUGGGGAGUACGAUCGCAAGAUUAAA
rnacentral:rRNA from 1 species